AUUUAUAUAUUAUUCCUUAGGGAAUCAUCCUGUGCUCUAUUUCACUGAUUCAUGGCAUGACUCAUCAUAGAAGCUCUUCUGGUGGUCAAGACACACUCUCACAGGUAGCAAACAUCAAUCAUCCCUCUAAGACAUUCUGACAUCAGAGAAAACACAGCUUCUUUGGACACAGCCCACACUGAACUCAAGCUGGGUAUAAGCCCAUGAAGGGACAUGAGCAAUGGACCAACAUGUUCAAGGAAACCUGUGCUGAUCUUCCACCUGCUUCAGUUAUGCUGCUUUAAGAUCUCUGGUGAUAUGAGAAGAGUCUGUACAAAGGAAGAGAAUUUGAUGCCUACCACUGCUGAAAAAGGAUUUGAAGGUUAUUCUAAAUGUCUGCAAGCUUAAGGAUUUUGAUUACUACUAUGACAUACAAGUCCGAGGAAGACCUAUAUAAAUGAGGAUGAAAAUGUG
rnacentral:lncRNA from 1 species